AUGUAUCUGUGCAUUUCAGGUGUACAUGUGUGAAGAACACUGUGCAGAACUUGAGGAGAUUGAAGAUCUAACCAGACUGGAGGAAGUCUGUGAGAGCUCAGUCCUGCUGUGCCUGAAGAAGAGGUUCCACUGCAAUCUCAUUUAUGUAUGGAUAGUGAUGCUUGGCUUGGUUUUCUUCACUGCUUAUUCACUCUGAACAAUGAGCUUUAAGAGAAAAAUGUUUAUAUUAUGCCAUCAAGCUUUAAUAAUGCACCAAGUACCUCACUCAUUACCAGGAACAAUGAUAAAAAGUAUUCUCACACAGCUUUUACUCAGAAAUCAGGUAGCAUGAAUAUUUGGGCUGAAAUCUGAAAGUUCCAGAGUUUCUCUGCAAUUUUGGUAUUUGUUGCCAAUACCUGUGAGCAUACUUGGUUUCCUUUUUAGCUUCAGCUGCUCCUACUGGGACUCUCCUAUUUUAGCAGAGAAGUUCUGAGUUAACAAUUGUGGAUCUUGAGAAGAAACCUCAGAGUUUCUGCAAACAUUUCACAGUGUUGCAGUCCAGAUCUGGUUGUGGAUGGUUAAUUGUUCUCUUUUCCAUUUACUGGCUCAAGUGUUCAAACCUGUACCUGUAAUUUCACGUGGAGCUUGGAGAAUAGAUAGAGCAGGUGACCACAGACCAGUGAAUGCUCACUUAUCCCAAAUUAUUGAUGACAGAGAUUAGAAAGUGAC
rnacentral:lncRNA from 1 species